rnacentral:rRNA from 1 species
AUUGAACGCUAGCGGGAUGCUUUACACAUGCAAGUCGAACGAGUGGCGGACGGGUGAGUAAUAUAUCGGAACCUGCCCAGUAGCGGGGGAUAACUACUGGAAAGGGUGGCUAAUACCGCAUACUAUCGGAACGGCCGAUAUCGGAUUAGCUAGUUGGUGGGGUAACGGCUCACCAAGGCAACGAUCCCUAGCUGGUCUGAGAGGACGACCAGCCACACUGGAACUGAGACACGGCCCAGACUCCUACGGGAGGCAGCAGUGGGGAAUGUUGCACAAUGGGGGAAACCCGGAUCCAGCCAUCCCGCGUGUAUGAGAAGGCCUUCGGGUUGUAAAGUACUUUUGGCGGGGAAGCGUUAUCCGCAGAAUAAGCACCGGCUAACUACGUGCCAGCAGCCGCGGUAAUAC